GGACGAACGCUGGCGGCGCGCUUAACACAUGCAAGUCGAACGGAAAGGCCUGCUUUCCCUUGUGGAUUGCGGGUACUCGAGUGGCGAACGGGUGAGUAACACGUGAGUGAUCUGCCCCCAACUUGGGUAUAAGCCUGGGAAACUGGGUCUAAUUCCCGAUAGGACUGCAGGGUGGUGCCUGUGGUGGAAAACGAUUUUCUAGUGGUUGGGGAUGAGCUCGCGGCCUAUCAGCUUGUUGGUGGGGUAAUGGCCUACCAAGGCGGCGACGGGUAGCCGGCCUGAGAGGGUGGACGGCCACAUUGGGACUGAGAUACGGCCCAGACUCCUACGGGAGGCAGCAGUGGGGAAUAUUGCACAAUGGGCGGAAGCCUGAUGCAGCGACGCCGCGUGGGGGAUGACGGCCUUCGGGUUGUAAACUCCUUUCGACCGCGAGGAAGCCACCUGGUUGGAAGGGUGGUGACGGUAGUGGUAGAAGAAGCACCGGCUAACUACGUG
rnacentral:rRNA from 1 species